rnacentral:rRNA from 1 species
GAUGAACGCUAGCUACAGGCUUAACACAUGCAAGUCGAGGGGAAACGAUAGAGAAAGCUUGCUUUUUCUAGGCGUCGACCGGCGCACGGGUGAGUAACGCGUAUCCAACCUGCCCAUCACUUGGGGAUAACCUUGCGAAAGUAAGACUAAUACCCAAUGAUAUCUCUAGAAGACAUCUGAAAGAGAUUAAAGAUUUAUCGGUGAUGGAUGGGGAUGCGUCUGAUUAGCUUGUUGGCGGGGUAACGGCCCACCAAGGCGACGAUCAGUAGGGGUUCUGAGAGGAAGGUCCCCCACAUUGGAACUGAGACACGGGUCCAAACUCCUACGGGAGGCAGCAGUGAGGAAUAUUGGGUCAAUGGACGAGAGUCUGAACCAGCCAAGUAGCGUGCAGGAUGACGGCCCUAUGGGUUGUAAACUGCUUUUAUAAGGGAAUAAAGUGGGAGUCGUGACUC